rnacentral:rRNA from 1 species
GUCUACGGCCAUACCACCCUGAAUGUGCCCGAGAUCAUCCCAUCUCGGAAGCUAAGCACUGUCGGGCCUGGUUCAUACUUGGAUGGGAGACCACCUAGGAAUACCAGGUACUGUAGGCA